rnacentral:rRNA from 1 species
GCUGGACUGAAAGGUUGAACGGCCACAUUGGGACUGAGACACGGCCCAAACUCCCACGGGAGGCAGCAGUAGGGAAUUUUCGGCAAUGGAGGAAACUCUGACCGAGCAACGUCGCGUGAACGAUGAAGUAUUUCGGUAUGUAAAGUUCUUUUAUUGAAGAAGAAAAAAUAGUGGAAAAACUAUCUUGACGCUAUUCAAUGAAUAAGCCCUGGCUAAUUAUGUGCCAGCAGCCGCGGUAAUACAUAAAGGGCGAGCGUUAUCCGGAAUUAUUGGGCGUAAAGGGUGCGUAGGCGGUUUGUUAAGUCUUUAGUUUAAUCUCAGUGCUUAACGCUGUUCUGCUAGAGAAACUGACUUACUAGAGUGAGAUAGAGGCAAGUGGAAUUCCAUGUGUCAGCGGUAAAAUGCGUAAAUAUAUGGAGGAACACCAGAGGCGUAGGCGGCUUGCUGGGUCUUUACUGACGCUGAGGCACGAAAGCGUGGGGAGCAAACAGGAUUAGAUACCCUGGUAGUCCACGCCGUAAACGAUGAGUACUAAGUGUCGGGGAAACUCGGUACUGAAGUUAACACAUUAAGUACUCCGCCUGAGUAGUACGUACGCAAGUAUGAAACUUAAAGGAAUUGACGGGAUCCCGCACAAGCGGUGGAUCAUGUUGUUUAAUUCGAAGAUACACGAAAAACCUUACCAGGUCUUGACAUACUCUGCAAAGCUGUAGAAAUACAGUGGAGGUUAUCAGGGAUACAGGUGGUGCAUGGUUGUCGUCAGCUCGUGUCGUGAGAUGUUAGGUUAAGUCCUAGAACGAGCGCAACCCUUGUCGUUAGUUACCAGCACGUUAUGGUGGGCACUUUAACGAGACUGCCAAUGAAAUAUUGGAGGAAGGUGAGGAUUACGUCAAAUCAUCAUGCCCCUUAUGAU